rnacentral:rRNA from 1 species
AGCAGUAGCCGCGGGAAUACGUAGGUCCCGAGCGUUGUCCGGAUUUAUUGGGCGUAAAGCGAGCGCAGGCGGUUAGAUAAGUCUGAAGUUAAAGGCUGUGGCUUAACCAUAGUACGCUUUGGAAACUGUUUAACUUGAGUGCAAGAGGGGAGAGUGGAAUUCCAUGUGUAGCGGUGAAAUGCGUAGAUAUAUGGAGGAACACCGGUGGCGAAAGCGGCUCUCUGGCUUGUAACUGACGCUGAGGCUCGAAAGCGUGGGGAGCAGACAGGAUUAGAUACCCCUGUAGUCCCUGUCUCUUAUACA